UGGGGAAUAUUGCACAAUGGGCGCAAGCCUGAUGCAGCCAUGCAGCGUGUAUGAAGAAGGCCUUCGGGUUGUAAAGUACUUUCAGUCGGGAGGAAGGUGGUAAGGUUAAUAACCUUAUCAAUUGACGUUACCGACAGAAGAAGCACCGGCUAACUCCGUGCCAGCAGCCGCGGUAAUACGGAGGGUGCAAGCGUUAAUCGGAAUUACUGGGCGUAAAGCGCACGCAGGCGGUUGAUUGAGUCAGAUGUGAAAUCCCCGGGCUUAACCCGGGAAUUGCAUCUGAUACUGGUCAGCUAGAGUCUUGUAGAGGGGGGUAGAAUUCCAUGUGUAGCGGUGAAAUGCGUAGAGAUGUGGAGGAAUACCGGUGGCGAAGGCGGCCCCCUGGACAAAGACUGACGCUCAGGUGCGAAAGCGUGGGGAGCAAACAGG
rnacentral:rRNA from 1 species